rnacentral:rRNA from 1 species
GACGUAGGGGACGAGCGUUGUCCGGAUUCAUUGGGCGUAAAGCGCGCGUAGGCGGUUCGGUAAGUCGGGUGUGAAAACACGAGGCUCAACCUCGUGCGUGCAUCCGAUACUGCCGGACUAGAGGUAGGUAGGGGAGAUCGGAAUUCCUGGUGCAGCGGUGAAAUGCGCAGAUAUCAGGAAGAACACCCGUGGCGAAGCCGGCUCUCUGGGACGGUACUGACGCUGAGACGCGAAAGCGUGGGGAGCAAACAGG